AGGGCAGCCAGAGGGAUGCCCUGGACUCCCACACCUUUGGAUCUGGGCUGACCCAUGCCUUGACAAGGAACACAAGGCACGUGUGGAAAUUGCUGUUGGGUGUCAGAGAAGCAGGGUGUCUUCAGGCAGAAUAUACAGGAUAUGUGAGUUUCUCAUGCCUCCAGAGCUUUGAGGCUGGGAAUGGACUGAGCCUUAGGUGGUUUAAUGAGUGUGCAGAGUGAAGGGCAGGAAAGAGUGGAAAGAGAGGAGGAAUCAUGCAGGAAAAGGGGCAGGUGGCUGUGGCAGAGAGGUUUUCUUCCUCUUGGCUCUUCCACAUGAUUCCUAGGAAAGCACAUCAUGCACAAUCAAAAGGAAAGAUAAGAGACCAAAGUAUAUCCUAAAAUACUAAUCUUGGCAUCAGGAGGGCAUACUAAAAAGAAAUAGGACUUUUUUCUUGUGAAUUAAAAUAUUUCUGAAAGGGAUGAAAUGUUUCGCAAAGGAGGACCCAAGACUUCUCUUCCUUGUCAACAUUUAACUAGACAACAUGGGUCUGCAAAUAAAUCCAAUUCUUCUUUCAAUAUCCCUGAAUCCUUGGGGUUUUUUUUUCCCCCCUUCCUCCAUCGUCUUCAGUCAGCUGCAGUGCUUGCCACUGGAUUCACUGACCCCCUCGGAGCCUGAAGAGUUCCCCACGCACUCAGCCUGGGCAAUAAAGCAUUUCUUUAGGUGUGGAGCUUAUGACUCUCAGCUCACACCACUGGGUCAACAGCAUCUGGAGCCCUGGAACAUUUUAAAGACUGAUCCAAAUGCUCAUCACUGAGGAAAACUCAUCAAAGUUGCUCUUGAGUCUUUCUGCUCAGAGGGGGAAGGCGUUAUCAGGAUGUAAGGGGUGGUUUUGCUUAUAGGCUAGGGAGAUACAAUAAAUAACCUUUCUGUGAGGGCAGAGUCCACUUCAUGGUGCUUGUAGCAUCCAGUGACAUGCCUGAGAACAAGUUUUGUAGCUGCAACUGGAGGAAGCAGGCGAUGUUCAUGGAGUGUCAGAUAAUCCUCUGUGACAUAUGAUCCAAAAACAUAAGGCUGACGAAUAUUCCUGGCGCUGUGUGCCACUACAGAGAGCAGAUUAUGCAUUUUUAAAUGUUUGAUGUUCUUUCAACAGUUAAAAGCCAUUUUGGGCAACAGAUAGCUCUGAAGAUAUUUUAAAUAAUAAUUUUUUUACCACUUGGUCUUAUCAGUGCUUCAUUUUAGGAGGCAGCAUCACAGAAGGCAGAGGGCUCUCCAAGGACCUAGCUCUGAUCUCACUUACCCCUAUUUAUAUCCGGAGUAACUCGGCUGAAACAAAUAGAAUUUACUCCUGCAUUAAGCAAGUGUAACCCAGAGAAGAAUAUAACAGGCCCCUCUGUUUGGUGUUUUCUGUACCUCUCUCCUGCCAACUAUUUUCACAGGUUAGGAUGUUUCUGUGGCAAGGGGAAGCCAGAGCAUCUGGGUUUGAGAGCAUGGAUGGACACAACUCCCAUGCAAGACCUGGCAGCUGGGUCAAGGGAGAGCACUUAGCCAGCAGAAAGCCACGAGCCUGUGGGCUCCAGUGUGGGAAUACCCCCCUGUCUAAGCAAGCAGUCUCACCAAAAUCCUUGGGGACUUAAGGAUUUUACUUAGAACAGUUUAUAGAACCUAAACUUGUAUGCAGGAAUUAAAAAAAGCCCCUAUUAUUAUUUUUAUAAUAUGUAUAGGUAUAUAAGUGAAACCAACAUGCACCAUGGUAGGAAACACUGGUUCUAAUAACCCAUAGACAUCCAGCCCUGAGUUUAUAUUUACCAUCUUUCCAUACCUGGGUAUUUUUUCAGAACUAAAAUCUGUAUGGAUGAUUCAAAAAUACAACCCUCUUGUAGUUUUUAUUGUUGUUGUUAUUAUAUAAGUGAAACCCACUUACAGUGGUAGGAAAUACUGAUUCUAAUGACCCACAGCCAGAGAGAGCUGGGUUUGUAUUUAUUCUUUCCAGUCCUGUGCAUGUGCUAGAAGCUAAGUGGCUCUGCAGAGCUCUCUCGAUCUGAGCAUUUUCCCCUCUCAGGCAAUUGCAUUUCCCACUAAAUACUAUGCUCUGCUUUUCCUGCCCUGCUGGCAGUGCAAAUGUGCCAAUCUCAUUCUCGAGCCAUGGUUCCUGUUGUGGGAUCAAAUGUUAGGAUUUUAAAAGCUAAAGUUUGAUGUGGAUGAACAACUGCCUAUAAAACGCAUUAAGCUCUUACCCUGUAAUGUAUUUAAUUUCACACUGACUGAUGGUAUUGCCCCUGAAUGGAUUACGGCAGGGGGCUGCCAUUGUCCUACUAAACCACACUGGUUAAAUAAUACCUUGGAGUCUAAAGCUGCUCUGGGAGCAUUUCAUAUUGGCUAACAUGUGAAAUGAAUACCUAGCUUUUCUGCGAGCACUUUGGGUUGGUUUAGGAAAAAAAUUAAAUUAAAAAAAAAAAAAACAACAACUACAUGUUGAGUUGAUUUACAGCGCAGGAAAACUGUGCACAGUUGUAGGAUGGUUCUCCCUCUGUGAAACACAAACCAGCAGCUAUAAAGGGCCCUGGUUCAGAGAAGUGCAGGUGCUUGCCUUGGCUCAGGGGCUGGGAAGGCUGCUGGACAAAGCAGGAGUGCAUUACUUCUCAGGAGAGGUCCCCCUAAGCUCAUUCCUCAUGGGUGUUUGGUGCUUGCAGUGUAUUUAUUUAAGCAGUGUCUCCUUGACAUUAGUGCCCAAAGGGUCAGAGACUGGAGUGCUGCUCAGGGCUCAAAUAUGUUAAUGUCUCAGUGUCAUAGUUGAGGAGUAUCAGCUUCGUUACUGAGCUGUUUUAAUUAAUUGUUUUUAGCUUCAAGAGAUUUUCCCUGCUAAACAAUUCCUGCUUAUUCUGCAUUCUCUGCCCCUUAUGCUGAGGUUAAUCAUAAGAGCUCCUUCAAUGGAGUUACACCUUCUGUAUGCAAAGUCAGGCUUCUGGACUCUACCAAUCAUUGAUGCAUGUCCUGCUCUGAAUCAUGUCAUUUUGGGAAAGCCUGUGAUUAACUCUAUGAGCAAAUGCUUGCCUGUUUCACCCUGCUUCUUAUUAUGCAAGGUAACCUCAAAUCAAGGAGCAUUUCUCAAGUCCAUGCAACUGCAGGCAAAUUCUGUGCUAAGUAAUUUUAAAACUAUGUGCUUUAUCUGAAUAAGUAUAUUUACGUGUAUAUAUAAAUAUGGGGAUGUAUAAAAUAUAUAUAGAAAGAGAGAGGUCUGUAACAUGCACAAUGAAUGUGUGGUUAGGGAUGCCAUUAUCUGCAGUCGGCUGAGGCACGAGCCCUAAGCAACUUUGCUUAUUGCAUUAAGAAAAAUUAAAUGAUCUUUUCUUUCUUUAAAAAGAGAAAGAAUUGUGAUAAGAAAAGGAUAAGGAGGUAUUAAAGCCCCACUAGUCGUUUGGAGUUUUUUUUUUUCCCUCCCCGCCCCAGACUUCAGCAGAGCCAGGAAAGAAUGCUGGAAGUCAUCAGAGGCAUGGCUGGGAUAGAGAGUGUUAAUUCUUCCAUAUCUAAGCCUCUUUGUCGAAAUUCCCUUUGUCUCUUGCCCCAGGUCAUUAAACACUAAUCCCAUCACUCUUCCUAAUCCGCUGCAGUGGAGCCAGAGUUCAGUUUCCGAAACUGUCUUUGUUGCUUUCCUAAUAGACAGCUCGCUCUGGAUUUUGGUUGGUUCGGUCACAUUUAGGGCCUUCCAGCACAGUUCUUUAAUGAAGUGCCAUUAAUGAAACUUUUCCUCCUUCAUGCAGUGUGCACGGGCAUCAAUUGGUUUAGGCUUAAGUAGGGUAAGGUGCCCAGUCAUCGCAGCAGCCUUUGCAAAAUAUGACUGUCAAAGGCAAAACCUAGGAAACAAGACCAUUGAAGAAUAUAGCCAGUGAAGUACUCAUUUAAUUACUAAGGAUUUACAAAAGAAAAUCUGUUCUUUGUGGCUUACAAAAGACAACAAGCUCAGAAGAGAUAGUAAAGGGUUUGGAACCUAUUCUCUUUUCUCCCUCCCCCUCUUCCCAACAAAUCCUGGAAGAGGAAAUGUGGCUGAGCAAAGGCAUCAAAGCCUGUUGUAAACUCUUUCCAACCUGCUGCAGGAACACUAACUUUCUAAGUGGGAGGUGUUCCACUUGUUGCUAAAAUAAACUUUGAAACCUCUCCUGCCAGGAGAUGUGGCCACAUUAUCGCAAUCAAUUCUUCUGUGGCAGAAAAUCGAGCAUUGGUCCAUUCCUCUGUGCUGAGAGUAAAAGCUGCUUCAUAACAAAAAUAUUUCUGUUAAUGGGAGAUGGUUUGUAGACUUGCAUUUGGCUGCAUGGGUGUAGUGGAUGUCUUGAAGGGAGCACUUCUGAGGCAGAGGAUAGAUAGCAAAACUUUGCAUCUUUCUUAUGGCAGUGAUGUUGAGACCCUUCACAUUCAGUUCAUUUGCCACAAGCAUAAGAAGGAAAGCAAGGUGUUGAAAACACCUGAGAAAAAAAGCUGUUCAUGUCUGGAGCAGGCCCAUCUCUACUUUUAAACUGUUGCCAAAAUGAUAGAUUCUGUAUAGGUUUGAGCAUAACCAUUCCAUCUUUGGAAAGCUUUCUUCUGCAGCUAUGUACAGGAGGUCCUGCAUUAAUUGGACCAUCUUCUCCCUAAGUCUUGAGAUGUGGAUUUGGAGCAACUUCCUUGUUCUCAGUGGGAUGAAAAGUUAAAAAAAAAAAUAAAGACUGAGAGGGUAGGAAAGCCAUUCAAGCUAGCAAAUCUGCUGGCUGUAUAAAGUCUCUUUGGUAGGUGUUAACAUUUUUUCCUGUGAUAUGAACUAUCUGAUUACCAGCAAACUUGUGAUAUGAAAUAAACCACAUCUGAUUUUACAGCAUGCCUUCCAUACGUUCUGUUUUACAAUGUUCAUGUGACAUAUAAAUGAGAUCCAGGUUUGAUUAUUAAGCAAUUUAAUUACUCUGUCAAAGUUGAUAUUAUAGUGCCCCGGAACAGACUGCUCCAAGGGAGGGUAUUCCUUUAAAGGCUCUUUUAACAACUGUGGGCCUGUGUUUGGUUUGUCUAAAUCCUAUUUUUCCUAUUUCUUGUUUUUACACAUCUUUCUAUCUAUCUAUCUAUCUAUCUAUCUAUCUAUCUAUCUAUCUAUCUAUCUAUCUCAGUUGGUUUUGGGGUUGUUUGUUCUUUUGUUUAUGUUCUUGUGUUCUUGGAUUUUAUUCUGUUUCAUUGCCAAAAUGUUCUGGCAGGUGACACCUUUGCUUGAUCUUCUUCAAACAUUUUGGUGCAAUUAUGUUGCCUCUGGUUGUAAGCCAGCUUGAUAACUUGCUUUACUAAAAAAAAUCUCUUAAAUCCCCAGGGACAAUAAAUCAGAUCCAUUUACAAAGUGAAUAAAUCACAACAAAAUGAUUCAUUUGCAAAUGAAACCACAGCAUUCUCUGGAGAUAAAGAAAAACAACUGCAUUUUGCCAUUUCAUCACGGUUUCUUCCCCCCCUAAAAUUCCAAUGUGCAUCUACUGUUGGCAAUAAAAGUUACACUUGCAUGUUGUUAAAAUCCGUUCAUAUGCUUCAGCAAUUCUACUUUCCCUGUAAUUGACUUGCCAAGUCUCCUACUUCAGGGAAUUGGAACAGCUUUCACGUGUGAUGAGGGAAAAUUUCCUGUACGAGUCACUUCAAAAACAAUAAUAAUAACAAUAAAAAAAUCCAGAACAUAUCCUGGUGUUGUUUAUGACCAGCGCUGGAGCCGCACACCCCACAGCAGCAUCACCAGCUGAGUGCCAGCUGUCUGCUAGUCUUUGACCCUUUAAACUUAGUCCUCACUCAAGUUGAUCUGCUAAUACUGAAUUAGCUCCCCAUGGCUGCAUCCUGGCAGAGCUUUUCAUUUAAUCCUUCCCUUCCUUCCAUUUCCCAACUACUGACUUUUUUUUUUUUUUUUUUUUUUUUCCACUCAUCUCUCUCUGCUUUCACCAACUGCAGCUCAGAUGUAAGAGGAGUUUUGGAUGAACCCAUGCAACUUCUGGGGAGUGUCUUCUGCAGGCCAUGGCCCCGAAUAACUCCAUAAUCAUUAAAAAAGCAUGUUGGGGAUGGACAUCAAAGCACUGAGUACUGGUUAAUGCCAUGAAUGAAACAUCUGUUGGUUUCCUCGGCUGGGAUUGAUUUUCCCUCCCUGCCAUCUAUAGGAGCUCAUGCAGGGCUCCGUGCACGUGGAAUUUUCUCAUGAAGCCCUUGACGUAAUUCCAACAAAAGGACAUGAAGAAUUUCCUUUCCUUUGCUAGUGGUGGCAUUCAGACAGAAAGAGAACCCCUGGAAAAUGUAAAAGCUUUUGUAAAAACAUGAGAAAAGCAUUUAAAGGCUUUUCAAAGAAAGAAAACAUCAAUGUAAAGCCUCCCAUAGUUGUCUGCCCAUGCGGUCUCUCUUGAUUUGAAGAGAUUUUAGCCUUGUGGGGGAGGGAGGCAGAACUGAGGGUUUUGUUGGUUUUAUUGUUCUGCUGGUUUGUUUUGAAUUCUGUGAUAUCUUCUUUUCCAUCAACACAUGCAUGAACUGUGAUUAUACUUGAACAUUUAUUUAGCCCUUCAGAAGCAUCACUAUUCAAGCAUAAAAAUUCUCAUGUGUGUUGCUCUGGCCAAUAAAUUUCUUUGAUGCUUGGCAGGAGUUUACACUUUGAUGCUCUGUAGUGAUUUUCACUGAAAGACUUCAGGGAUGAGUUACCAACCCAGUAUCUUCUGGAUGGACUGCACAGCUGUGUGGAUCAGCCCCUCUUUCCCUCUCCACCCCCAGCUCCCCUUUAGCUUCCCAGGCAGGGUUGCCCAUGGUCAAAGCCAAAGCCUCUCAGAAAGGAGCCACAAAGCUGAUCAUUGCCAAAGAGACUUUCAGAGAAAGGAAAGGGAGAUGGGAAACAGAGUGGUGGAGGAGGAGAGCUGGGAGAGAUUCCUCUCACCAGCAACAAGGAAACUGUGGAGGGAGGUGGGAAGGUACAGAAAUGCAUAGAAAGGAUAUGCAGCUUUCCCCCAUUUGCAUGCUCAGACACUCUGCCUCCCUGGUGGCACUGUCCCUUGCCUCACUAGCACUUCCAAAGCCUUGGAAAAGAAAUGCCCUUUAAAAAGGGGAGUUAAUAAAAGAAAACCAGCUCUUCAAUUGACAUCUCCUUCCUAAGCAGCAGCACUAGAACUCUGGUGAUUCCAUUGUGGUUUGCUUGGGAGGCUGAACAGAAAAGGCACAGGAAGUUUAGUCUAAUUGUAAAGAAGAGAGAAAACUAUUCAAUUCCAAAUAUGCUGGAGCACCCAAAAUACAUUCAGGGUCUCCUGUUUAUUUCUGUCAUCCUGUCUUCUCCCAGAGUAAAUAUCUCAGUGUGAGUUUUCAUGAGAAAAGUAAAACCAAGCAUUUUCAGUCCUUCUUUAGGAGAAGGGAGAAGCAGAGAUUUUAAAUAAAUUUAGCAAAGGGAUGUGUCAGCUUUAUUACAAUCUUUCUCCCUUGUUCUUGUCAACUUUCUUUUGUAACAAAAUCCUCCCCACCUCCAUGCAAAACCAGGAAAUAUGAUCCAGUGUCCAUCCAGCAACACUAGGUACCAGGUCUGAGGAGUUUAUUUUUGUUGGAAGGUCCCAGAGGGGUCUGCCUAUGUCUAGCUUGGAGAAGUGAGUACUGGUGGCUUUAUCCAGGAGGAUAACAGUGAGAUAAGGUGGGAAGAACACAGUUUUCUGGGCACUUCUUUUGCUGUCAGAUCCCAGCAGUUCAAGGAGUUGGGUUGCCUGCUGUCUGGUCUGUCCUCCCAAGCAUAUAGUUUUUCUUAUAGAGACUUCCACUUGUGAACAAAUUUCUCCCUGCAAAUACGUUUGUAGAGGUAUGAAGGUGAAAUUCAUUGGCCUCCGUUUCAGAAGAAGUCAUGUUCCAUGACCUAAUGGCCUUGGAUGCCUGUUAAAAAUUCCAGAUUUAAAAUUGUCCUUGUGAAAAGAAGUGCCAAAGUCUAAAAUUAUCCUACAAGAAAGGCUCACACAAAGAUUUCUCUUUCAGCGGGGUUUGCACAUCAGGUUUCUGCUGCUCAAAGGAUUCGCAGUGCAGUGUGUCAGCUUUGAUGAUGGAAAUAUUACCCUCUUGCCUGGAUUUUAUUUUAUGUUUGUUUUCCCUUCUGCCUCUAGUAGUCUGCAGGACUCCUCCUGAAAAAGGCUAAUUACCCAUCCAAACCUGCCAGUGGGGCAGGGUAAGGGCUGGCUGUGCCCCUGAGAGCAGAUCUUUCCAAGAGAAACACUCAGACAACACAGCUCUUGAGUGCCUCAGCCAUAAAUCUCCUCUGGGCAUCUGCCUGCUUUAUGGACUCUGCCAUUUUCUCUCAGACAAUUCAGAGCCUGCCCUAUUGCCUCUUGCAGAGGCAGAAAGAGCACAGCUUGCUCUGGAGAGAAGAAGAUUUAAGUUUUCGAUAAUAUCGGGAUGAAAUUACCAGAAAAGUUGAUAGUAUGUGAUUCUUUUAAGCUAGCAAGAGAGUGGUGACAGUCUUCUGCUCUCUCUUCUGCUCUCUGCAAGGUGAGUUGAAAGGAGAGGGCAAUGAGAUUUUAGUCUGUAUCUUUUAAGGGAAGGAUUAAAAAAGAUCAGUUUAAUAUGCAGUAAAGGAGAUUUAGAUGAGAUAUUACAGAACUUCCUCAUACUCAAAACAGUUAAGCACUGGAGCAGAAUAUUCAGUAACUAUGUGGAAUCACCACUGUAGGAGACACAUCUGUAAAGGUUGGGUUUAAGGAAACAUAAUCCUGUCUCCAACAGAUGGUGUGGAUGAUUCCUCAGGGACAACACUCAUCUCAAUUUCAUAUGGUUCACUACAGAGAACUUUCCCACUAUAAAGAGGCUAAUAUCUGAUUCCUAAGUUCAAAAAAGAACAUAAGAAAAGCCAUACGGGUUCAAAACUAAAAAUCUUACCCGGUGUCUCAUCUGCUACAGGGACCCACAACAUCUGGAAGGAAUGUAAGAGCAAGAGCGUCAUAUGGGGAUACUUUCCCCAAAUUAUCUCCCACUUGGUAAAUUUUGGAAUUUAGGGAUGUGACUUCUCUAUCCAGAGGUGUUGUCUUUUUAAGAUCAAUAUAAAUAACUCACUUGUUUGGUUUUUCUGUCAGAUUUUUGCAUUAGCUUUUUGACUCAGGAAAAAUAAAGUGGUCAUGGUGGAAGAGGAAAGAGUAUGAGAGGAGAAAAAAAGAGAAACUGGGAAAAGGGGAAAGAGGGAAGCAGAAGGAAAGAGAAAGGAAGAAAGUGAGUAGUGAAAGCAAAGAAUCAAUAUGAAGAGGAAAGGAUGUGAAUACCUUGCCACUAAGGAAAGCAGGGAAACAGCUGGUAGCAUGAGGUGUGACAUCAGUGACUGAGUCCAAGCCAAGCCAAAUCUGACAACUGCUCUCUCCACAGCUUAGAUGCCUUGUUUGGGAGCUGAAUCAAUGGAAGUCCAUGCAUCAUUCGUGUAUUUGCAAACACCUUUUAUUGCCAGCCCUCUGCAUGGACUGAAGCCCCAGUCCUUCCCCAGGGCUGGAGGGGCUGAGCACGGGCUGCUCUGCUGGAGAGGAAAAGUUGGAUCUGAUGCCAAAAGGUCUCCAGUGCUGGUGGAAAUGGCACCUGGAGAAUCCAGCAGCAGGGAAGUGGUGAAUGUCUAUCACACCCAGACUUACACUGAAAAACUAAUGCACUGAUGUCUUGUGAACUUCUCUUUUUCGUGGCUGGUUUAGCUGGGGAGGUGCUGAUGUCCUGGGAGAAAGGGCAUCCAAAACCAAAUAGCUGUCAGAAGUUUCUUUGGUUGUAGUAUUUUUGGUCUGAGAAGGUUGAUUUACUAAGCGUGGUUGCAGGAGGGGAGUGUUGAGAGACAAUAUUGAUGGGUCUUUGUUGUCACUUUGUUUUUCACCAAAGAUGUGUGGCAUUCCUGAGUUUACCCUGUCCUGACAGGAGCGUAUUUGAAACCAAAAUAUUAAUUUUCUUCUUUACCUUUCUGUUGUUCCCCACUUCUGGCAGGUUACAGUACCCCUGAACGCUGUUGUUGACCUCGGACAUGUUCUUGUUGGGAGGUUUAUUGAUGGUUGAUUAUCUGAAUUUAGUUACUGCUUGUGACUGUAAUCCAGGAGACUUCUGUUCCAUGGAUAGCCAGUGUUGCACUGAACCUUGCAGCUCUACACUGUUAGUUGAACUCUGUUGUUCUCAUCUUUGUGUGUCUGGAUUUGUCUUAAGCUUAAGAGUGGGAGAAAAUUUCAGAUUUCCUUCAGUCAUCAUGAGGGCACUACUCAUGUUCAGGCUGGUGACAUUACCAGUGGCAAUCUGCACUAGAAGAAAAUCUGUAACUCAGCAUCACUUUGGUUAAAAUAUCUUUCUUAAAAAAGACCCAACAGGACAAAGGGGGAUCCCUCUGUGUCAGGAGAGAAGGGAGAAGCUAAGAGAGUCACACACUAGUUCUAUAUAACAUCCAGAAAUUACAUUAAUUGAGCGCUUCCACUAUCCCAUCCUUUUCUGAUUUUGUGAAUAUCACAUGUAGAACAGCAUCAUGUGGUUGUUAAUUAUGACAAGCAAAAUGCAAUUUUGUAAUAAGGCUAGCAGAUGUUUGCAGCACUAAAUAUUCAGCUCAAACCCAGUCCUUUUUGCCCAGCACACUGCCAGUCAAGAUCACAUAGAGUGUCUGAAUUAUUUUUUUUUAAUUUGUUGUUCUCUAUAAAUUCCCUCUAGCUCACCUUUUAAUCUCUCUAUUUGCGAUGUGAUCUGUAAGAUCAGGUUGCAGAAAAUUACAAUAUUCCAUUUGCUCGUAAUUAGGCUCUCAUUUUCUCUCCAUCGGGCAAAGAGAAAUUUUGCCACUAAUUGUGGUAGGACAGGACCAGCCCCUCUGCUUUGCUUUUGUAAGGAUUUUAAAGGCCAUGUGAACAUAUGAAAAGUUUGUGUUGACCAAAAUGUCUGUGAUGAACUGAAAGACAGCCAUUUGCACUCGUGUGAGAAGAGCUCUGUUAAGAGCCAUCAAUCCCACUUGUGACAGCAUAUUGACACUUGCUGGUCUUUAGGAUUCAUUUCUUAAAAUGCUAAUGCAGACAAGUUCCUGUCUGCUGUGGGAAAAUAUGGGGGAACUUUGUUAGAUGAGACACUCAAGUGCAAAUAAAUGUUUCCUGUAAGAAA